AUUGAACGCUGGCGGCAGGCUUAACACAUGCAAGUCGAGCGAGCGGCGGACGGGUGAGUAAUGUCUGGGAAACUGCCUGAUGGAGGGGGAUAACUACUGGAAAAGGUAGCUAAUACCGCAUACCAUCAGAUGUGCCCAAAUGGGAUUAGCUAGUAGGUGGGGUAAUGGCGCACCUAGGCGACGAUCCCUAGCUGGUCUGAGAGGAUGACCAGCCAAACUGGACCUGAAGCACGUUCCGGACUCCUACGGGAGGGAGCGGUGGGGAAUGUUGCACAAGGGGCGCAAGCCUGAUGCAGCCAUGCCGCGUGGGUGAAGAAGGCCUUCGGGUUGUAAAGCUCUUUCAGCGAGGAGGCGUUACUCUCAGAAUAAGCACCGGCUAACUCCGUGCCAGCCGCCGCGGUAAUUC
rnacentral:rRNA from 1 species